UACGGAGGAUGCGAGCGUUAUCCGGAUUUAUUGGGUUUAAAGGGUGCGUAGGCGGAAUAUCAAGUCAGCGGUAAAAAUUCGGGGCUCAACCCCGUCGUUCCGUUGAAACUGAUGUUCUUGAGUGGGCGAGAAGUAUGCGGAAUGCGUGGUGUAGCGGUGAAAUGCAUAGAUAUCACGCAGAACUCCGAUUGCGAAGGCAGCAUACCGGCGCCCAACUGACGCUGAAGCACGAAAGCGUGGGUAUCGAACAGG
rnacentral:rRNA from 1 species